rnacentral:rRNA from 1 species
GACGUAGGGCGCGAGCGUUGUCCGGAUUUAUUGGGCGUAAAGAGCUCGUAGGCGGCUCGUUGCGUCAACCGUGAAAACCCGGGGCUUAACUUCGGGCUUGCGGUUGAUACGGGCGGGCUGGAGUUCGGUAGGGGAGACUGGAAUUCCUGGUGUAGCGGUGAAAUGCGCAGAUAUCGUAAGGAAGACCAGUGGCGAAGGCGGGUCUCUGGACAGUUCCUGACGCUGAGGCACGAAGGCCAGGGGAGCAAACGGG